rnacentral:lncRNA from 12 species
AGCCUCAAGGGAAGGAUUCUAACAGUCUAGCAAACAUUGAGAUGACUAAGAACUAACAACCAGAGUCCUGUUACUGCAGUGAGGUUAAGGCUAGUUCUGAGCUCCACGUUUCCUGGUGCUGGAAUCCUCCCUUACCUAGCUAGUGUCACUACUGGAAGAGAGAUGCUUCAUUCCUAUUCCUCUACCCACCCAACAGAUACUGUGAGGUCUUACCUUGGUGAUUCCAGAAUUCUAAAAUAAAUGGAAAGAGCCUCAACUAUCAAACUGACAAUGCAAUAGUUUUCUGAAAUGCUGAAAGAAAAGAAAGGCUUGGAUCAUGAAGAACUCAAAAGUAGGACUGAAAUUUUUUCUCCAAGUCUGAGGGUGGAGGCCCCAGGCAGGAACCAGCCCUCUGGUUCCCCCUCUAUCCUCACCAGGUCUCCCCCAAGAAAGCAUUACCCACCCUCGGGGUGUCCCAGCACCUUGCGUGAGUUUCCUGUAUGAAAACAAAAUUGGGAAAGAUAAACCUAUACAAACACCAUGAUUGCAAGUAAUAAACAGAAAACGAAACAAGUGAGUGUGCUGCCC